rnacentral:rRNA from 1 species
UACGGAGGGUGCAAGCGUUAAUCGGAAUUACUGGGCGUAAAGCGAGCGUAGUCGGUUAUUUAAGUCGGAUGUGAAAUCCCCGGGCUCAACCUGGGAAUUGCAUUCGAUACUGGAUAGCUAGAGUUCGGCAGAGGGAAGCGGAAUUUCUGGUGUAGCGGUGAAAUGCGUAGAUAUCAGAAGGAACAUCAGUGGCGAAAGCGGCUUCCUGGACCAGAACUGACGAUCAGGCUCGAAAGCGUGGGGAGCAAACAGG